UGUGACAUAAGUGUGUGCAUGUAUAUGUGUAUGUGUGUGGUGUACAUAAUUAUAUCUAUGUGUGCAUGUAUGUGGACAUAAGUGUGUGCAUGUAUAUGUGUGUGUGUGGUGUACAUAAU
rnacentral:miRNA from 1 species